rnacentral:rRNA from 1 species
UACGGAGGGUGCAAGCGUUAAUCGGAAUUACUGGGCGUAAAGCGUGCGUAGGUGGUUUGUUAAGUCUGAUGUGAAAGCCCUGGGCUCAACCUGGGAAUGGCAUUGGAUACUGGCAGUCUAGAGUGCGGUAGAGGGUAGCGGAAUUCCCGGUGUAGCAGUGAAAUGCGUAGAUAUCGGGAGGAACAUCCGUGGCGAAGGCGGCUACCUGGACCAGCACUGACACUGAGGCACGAAAGCGUGGGGAGCAAACAGG